rnacentral:rRNA from 1 species
CGAGGAUCCUACUGUCUCCCCCCUCUAAUCAGUGAAACUGAUCUCCCCGUGAAGAAGCGGGGAUAUACAUAUAAGACGAGAAGACCCCAUGGAGCUUUAAACCUGACAGCACCCGCUCAUUCUAUACCCCAUUAUUUGCCCGACCCCUGUCUGCUCAGUUUUAGGUUGGGGUGACCACGGAGUAUAAAAUAACCUCCAUGAAGAAGGGGAUAUUUCCCUUAUUAGAGAACCACACUUCCAAGAACUAAUAAAUUAAUUUUCAAUGACCCGAUACCCGAUAAUCGAUCAACGAACCAAGUUACCCUGGGGAUAACAGCGCAAUCCACCCUGAAAGCCCUUAUUAACAGGUGGGUUUACGACCUCGAUGUUGGAUCAGGGUAUCCCAGUGGUGCAGCAGCUACUGAGGGUUCGUUUGUUCAACGAUUAAAACCCU